UACGUAGGAUCCAAGCGUUGUCCGGAUUUACUGGGUGUAAAGGGUGCGCAGGCGGACUUGUAAGUCAGGGGUGAAAUCUCACAGCUCAACUGUGAAACUGCCUUUGAUACUGCAAGUCUUGGAUCCAGAAGAGAGUUGUUGAAUUCCGAGUGUAGCAGUGAAAUGUGUAGAUAUUCGGAAGAACACCAGUGGCGAAGGCAGCAACUUGGUCUGGUAUCGACGCUCAGGCACGAAAGCAUGGGGAUCAAACAGG
rnacentral:rRNA from 1 species